GAGGGAGGCCCGCAUGCAAUCGAGGUUGCUAACCUUGAUCACCAGGGUUGGAAUCCCUGGCUCCCAUCG
rnacentral:tRNA from 1 species